UAUAUUGUAGUCUAUAUAGGAAAUAGGGUUCUGACUAGAUAUAUUGUAGUCUAUAUAGGGAAUAGGGUUCUGACUAGAUAUAUUGUAGUCUAUAUAGGAAAUAGGGUUCUGACUAGAUAUAUUGUAGUCUAUAUAGGAAAUAGGGUUCUGACUAGAUAUAUUGUAGUCUAUAUAGGAAAUAGGGUUCUGACUAGAUAUAUUGUAGUCUAUAUAGGGAAUAGGGUUCUGACUAGAUAUAUUGUAGUCUAUAUAGGGAAUAGGGUUCUGACUAGAUAUAUUGUAGUCUAUAUAGGGAAUAGGGUUCUGACUAGACAUAUUGUAGUCUAUAUAGGGAAUAGGGUUCUGACUAGAUAUAUUGUAGUCUAUAUAGGGAAUAGAGUUCUGACUAGAUAAACUGUAGUCUAUAUAGGGGUCGUGACCAGCCUCACACUCCAGUACAGUAGGUGGUAGAGAAUACAGAUGAACAGGGGGCCGUGACCAGCCUCACACUCCAGUAGGUGGCGGUGUAUCCACCUUUCAGUGUGUUGUGAUCCACCAAUAGUAAUGUAAAGAAGAAGAAGAAGGACAGAUGAAAGCAAUAUGGUGGAAGCUGAACAUCAGCUCAGAAAUAUAACACAGCCAUCUUCAAAUCAAA